CGCAGCCGCGGUAAUUCCAGCUCCAAUAGCGUAUAUUAAAGUUGUUGCAGUUAAAAAGCUCGUAGUUGAAUUUCGAGAUCAGUACGCUGGUCGUGCCUUCGGUAUGCACUGGUGUCACUGGUUUCUCCCUUCUGAAGAACCGUAAUGCCAUUCAGUUGGUGUGGCGGGGAAUCAGGAUUGUUACUUUGAAAAAAUUAGAGUGUUUAAAGCAGGCUCGCGCUUGAAUACAUUAGCAUGGAAUAAUGAAAUAGGACGUUUGAUCCUAUUUUGUUGGUUUCUAGAAUCGACGUAAUGAUUAAUAGGGAUAGUUGGGGGCAUUAGUAUUCAAUUGUCAGAGGUGAAAUUCUUGGAUUUAUUGAAGACUAACUACUGCGAAAGCAUUUGCCAAGGAUGUUUUCAU
rnacentral:rRNA from 1 species